rnacentral:lncRNA from 1 species
CUUUUUCAUCUCAAACACAAAUUCUUACCUAGGUUGAAGUUAAAGGUCCACAGCACACUAAUUGUAAAAGCAAAAGUGCCAAUUCAACAGAAUUCCAAAACCACAGGAAAUGCCUCUGAACUUGAGAACUCUAGUCACUGGAUUUUUGGAAUCCCUGUUAUGUCAGAGGGGUACACCAUGGAGAUUCCUGAUAUUCUGAAAGGGUUUCACUGUAAUGAUGCCUUCCUUGGUUACCAAGUUGGAACAGAAGAACUGAGUUGCUGGUCAAUCAUCAGGAUUUUAUUGAAAGCCUAUUAUGUGUAAGCCAAAACUUCCUUUCCAUGUAUUCUCUUCAGAUUAUAGCAUGUCCCACUUUCUUCAAAUGAAUGGGAUAAUACACAUCCAUAGCAUAUAGCUAAAGCAUAAGGCCUGUGCUGUUAGAUUAGUUUUGGGUGGGAGAUUCACUAUAAUCUAAAUAAAAUAUAAACAAAAAUUUAUCAGGCCUCUGACAUCUAACAAACGCUAAGUCAAAUCUAACUUCUUUGAGUUCAGG